AGCUUUGCGCAGUGGCAGUAUCGUAGCCAAUGAGGUUUAUCUGAGGCGCAAUUAUUGCUAAUUGAAAAAGA
rnacentral:snRNA from 1 species